rnacentral:tRNA from 1 species
GGCGCUAUCGUCUAGGGGCUAGGACGUAAGAUUCUCAUUCUUAAAACCAGGGUUCGAUUCCCUGUAGCGCUA